GAGGAUGAGCAUUUGGAUAAAGACGGGAAAGAGGAGCCCCAGGAGAGUAUGGAAGGGAUUUUAUAUACCUUCUUGCCUUUGGAUUGUCUAUGAACUCAAGAUCUUCCUCUCUCUGGCUACCCAGUAAGUUAAUUAUCAAUUUGAGUUGAUUCAGACAUUCUGUACCGGGGAAGAUAGGUUUCCUACCGAGAAGUUCGGCAAAGAUGCAUCCUACAGACCACACAUCAAUUGACGUCCCGUAAUUCUCGCAGCAGAGCAGCAGUUCUGGGGCUCGAUACCAGCGAGUUACAACAUACUCUGUCAUAAAUUGAUUCUUCCCAUUGCUCGUACGCGCUAACCCAAAAUCACAUAUCUUAAGAUCA
rnacentral:misc_RNA from 1 species